UUAGGAGCCCACGCAGCAACCAAUGAGCGGCCGCCCACCCGCCUCAGGUGCGGUAUCCACUUCCUCCGCCCGGCCUGCUGGGCCCGCCCCGACUGCUCUGUCGGCAUCUCGUCAGGGCGCGGCGGGUGAGCGCGCAGAACUGCCGGAGUUCGUUGCCACGGUGACGGGCACCUUGGAGGCUUUCUUGGGGUGAAGAGGCGGGGCGUUCCAACAGUCGCCAUGGUGACAACUGCGGAUAAUGGUAUCCAGACUGAGGGCCUCUCCCCCGGGACAAGGGAUAGCUGCGGGUAAGCAGCUGAAUGACCAAACAAAGGAGGUCGGGCUUGAGGACCCAACGCCACAGUUCGGGAAUGGAUCUGGGCAAACGAGGGGCCGGGCUACAGAUAAUUGGGCCCUCGAAAGCCAGGUUCUGUUAGGGAAGUGGCUGCGACUCUGCAUUCUGGAGCGGAACUUAGAGAGGGGAUAUUUAAUCUGAAUAUAAAUGAAUGAAAAAAUGAAUGACUGGGCUCCUGAGAGAGCUGGGAAGAUUUGGUGAUGGGUGGAUGAGCUAUCCCCAACACCUGCCCCCACCCCCCGGAACCCUCCACCCUCUGGUCCCUCAUUCACUUGUGACAGCUGUGUAAGCAACACAUGCCCCUCCCGAGGACGUAGAGCAAACCUUCUGCCCAAACAUGCAGCCCAGAGCUGAGUCCAGCACCUCCCACUAGGAACAGUGCAGGGCGGGGCCUGGCCAAUGAGGUGGCCCAGCCCCAUCUCUUCUUCCCCGGAUUCCAAUCCAGUUGUUAGAUCUCCUUUUUCCCAGUCUCCAUUCCCUCUCCCAGUUUUCCCAGCAACUCUAGGAUGCCUGGGCAACCAGGCCUCACCCGGUGCCCAGUACGGCAAGAUCCAGAGCCCCAGCAGAUUUAGGGUCUACAUCUCAGCUGGUCUUCCCCUGAGACUGCGAGAACCCUGCUAAAUAGGGUGAAGAGUGGACAGGGAGCUGGUUCCAUCCUGGGGUAGAGGGUGGUUCUGAAAACACAGCUGCUGUGAGCCUUAUCAGGUGGGGAGUAAUCUGAGGCCCCUUGGGUGGGGUGGUCCAGAAUUCAAAUGUUGAACCUCACCUCUCCCUACUCACUUCAGGUAUCCAAGGGCCCAUCAGGGCAUCCACUGUUCUCUAUAGUUAGUACAGGAAGGAGUGAGGAGGGCAGUGGUGGUAGAGACAGAUCAACAGAGUCUCUGGCGGCCAUGGCCAGGAAGAGGGACUCCUUUGUCUCUAGGGUGUGAGAGGUGGGGCUGGGUACCUCCUGACUGCAUUUAAGGAGGUUCUCUUAGCUGAACAAAGACUUGGUUUCCAGGAGACGACUGUCCUGGUGGAUCUGGGAAGGUGAGGUUCAGCACCAUGCCACUGGUCCCACAGCUCCAUAUUCCACACUUCCCAUCCUGUUUGCUCCCUAGGACAGGACAGAGGAGAUGGGUACCAGUAUCUGCUCUCCAGUAUUUGCUAAAGGUGGAGCAUUCUGGAGCUGUGGCCACCUCCUCUCUUCUAACUCCAAGUAGUAAGCAUCAUGUUACCUGACAAGUCUCAGAUCAUUCCUUCUGGUGGAGACAAACUAUGUCUCCCCUUAAGGAGCUGCUGAGCUGGUGGGGGCAGAGAGCCUCUGCCCCAGGGAUAGCAGGGGAGCUUUGUACACUGAGGUUGGGGGACACACUGAAAUUAGCCAGAGACUUUAUCUAGUUAGGACAUCAGAAUAUUGUUGCCCAUGUUAAGUAUCUUGUUCAAAACAGUGGACCCAGGGUGGUAAGCCUAGGGGCAUUUCAUCAGGGAAAAGAGGUUUCCAAGGGAAGAAAGUGGCCAGGCAACAAACGGAUGGGUGGGAGAGGGACUCAUUCUGUUCUGUGAGGUCCAAGGAUGGGAAAUAGGACAGAAGUUACAGGGAACCAAUUUCCUCAGGUUCAAACUAAGAAUAUUCUAACAGCUGUCCAAAAAGGUAAAGUAUGGCUCUCGGAGGACUUAAGUCUUUGUCAUUCGGUCCUCAGUCCCUGGCAGACCCCAUGUUUGUUGAAUUGCAAAGAGGACAUGAGGAGAGAAAUUUGAUGACAUGGAGAGGAGAGUGUGCUGGGUUUGCUGCAUAAGACACGGGGUGCAGGCCACUCCUCACUCUCUGUGGGAAAAGCAAGAGCUGAGCAAGGAAAACAGGAGGUACUGAUGGGGAAACCAUGUAGGCUGGACCUGGCGAUCAAUAGAAGAGCUGAGUAGGUGAAAUCAGCUACUAGAAAAUACUUUGUAAACAACAAAGCUCAUGAGUUGUAAGCAAGAGGAGGCAACCACGGGCUCCUGGGGUGGUGGUACGCAGGAAGGACUAGGCAGGGGCCAGGGAGGAGGCAGAGUCGUGAUAGUACUAGGCACGCCAAGGAGAGGAAGGCCUUGGGGACCCACUGCAUGACGGCAGCUCAGGUUGGGGUCUGAAGGCCUGGGGUGACAGCAGAGACAGGGCGGGUUAAACUGGCUGUCUGGAGUUGGGGUUUCCCAAAGCUCCCCACUCCCAGCCUUGGCUUCCUGGAUACCUGGGAAGUCACAUUAUUAGCCAGCCAGUAGAAAAAAUACCUUUUUAUUAAUUAUUAGGAAUAAUCCAUUCAUUUAAUGCAGGGCGUGUGUCCAGGAGACUUAGGUACUGCAGGACGGAAGAGGGGAACCGUGCAGGAGGAACAGUGAAAAGGGGGAUGGCCCCCCGCCUGCCACAAACUAUAAACAGCAAAAUAAACACAAAGAAUCACAAAUAAUGGGGUCCUUCCUUGUGUCUCCUCCCAUCCAUUCUUCCAGAAUGACUCCCACUGUGGUCCCUAGAGGUGCCAGGGCAUCUGGAAAUUCUGGGCUGGGAGUGGGGUGCAGUGUGUGGCCUCGAAGUUGUGCAGAUGCUUCUGAGCCUGA